rnacentral:rRNA from 1 species
GAUGAACGCUGGCGGCGUGCCUAAUACAUGCAAGUCGAGCGAACAGAUGAGGAGCUUGCUCCUCUGACGUUAGCGGCGGACGGGUGAGUAACACGUGGAUAACCUACCUAUAAGACUGGGAUAACUUCGGGAAACCGGAGCUAAUACCGGAUAAUAUAUUGAACCGCAUGGUUCAAUAGUGAAAGACGGUUUUGCUGUCACUUAUAGAUGGAUCCGCGCCGCAUUAGCUAGUUGGUAAGGUAACGGCUUACCAAGGCAACGAUGCGUAGCCGACCUGAGAGGGUGAUCGGCCACACUGGAACUGAGACACGGUCCAGACUCCGACGGGAGGCAGCAGUAGGGAAUCUUCCGCAAUGGGCGAAAGCCUGACGGAGCAACGCCGCGUGAGUGAUGAAGGUCUUCGGAUCGUAAAACUCUGUUAUUAGGGAAGAACAAAUGUGUAAGUAACUAUGCACGUCUUGACGGUACCUAAUCAGAAAGCCACGGCUAACUACGUG